UGUAUUUGGUUGAAACUUCACGUUGUCUCUUGUUAUUUCCAGCUUGAAUAGGUGCAGCUUUGACAAAGUAUAGGAUGGGCAGAUGUCGCGAAAGGAAUAAUCAUGGUUUUUGAAGACUGAUAAUGCUCCCUCGAGUACUACACAGCAAAAAAACUCAGCAUUUGCUUGUAGCUCCUGACGGGUAUGCAUUGGAGAGACUAACGUUGCUUUCUGAACUCAAUCAAUGUAAAGACAUUGCGAGUAAACAAAGUUCCAAAUACUUUGGCGUUGGCUGAACAACACCAUUUCCACCAGAUCAAGACGGUGGUAUAUACAUCCGAAUUCGAACCAAAGAGUGCCUUAAAAGGAGGGAAUUAGCAGGGCAAGGAAA